CACACACACCCAGAGGCAUCACCACUAAGCCGUUUACCAGGUCUCCGGGCCAAGGCAGGGCUGACUUAGAGCACCCAGACCACAUGGGUGUGUGUCCGCACAGGCGGAAGGGGGCGACACGGCACACUAACGCAUGAAAUUUUAGCCGGGGGCGUCCAUUGCCCGAGAGCCUGCAGUCACCGCGGGAACGAAUGUUCGGUGGGAACCAAUCGAGAGGCAGGACCAGGCCUCACUGUGCCUUUCGCAUCAUACGUGGAUGCGGGCCUUGCCCGCCACUUCCUGACUGUACGUACCCAACUGCGAGGGCCGAUUCGGAAGGAGCUCGACGUUAAUGGCCGCAUGCUGGUUCUCCGAUUGACUGCUGAAGACCCUGGCCUGCUCCAGAACUCCAUCGUCUUCUGUCUGGAGCAGCUUUCCCUGGUGAUGCGGUCCUUGCAGGACUAUGGGGCCCCCGUUUCUCGGCACAGAAGAGGGGUUUAAACCUACCCUGUGUGCCGUAGCUUCAGGUGUCGUUCCCCAGGGCAUUGCUUUCUGCAGUACUUUGAUCGGGCUUCAUCUUACGUCUGUGCUGCUUUGGGGGGCUCAGUGUCUACAUAGUUGUUUGGUGAUUGUUACCUGCAGAAAAUAAAACUGAG
ensembl:lncRNA